CUAGAUCUAGAAAAUCAAACCAAAAAUCAAAUAUGAAUCCGAGAGAAAAACGAGUUUUGCAAAAGAAAUCAAGAAAAAUAAGAUGCAAAUUAAAAGAAACUAUAUGUUUAAUUCGUUUCCUUGAAGUUUCAAAAGAAAAAUAAACGAAAUAGAGAAAAAAUUCAACCAAAAUCGACAAAGAAUAACAGAGAUCCUAGAAAAAAGAACAAAACGAUAUUUUCUUUUGAAUCAAAUGAUUUUUCUUUUGAAUACAGUGGUGGUGGUGGUUAUAAGAGUAUUGAUGGUGCCGGUGGUAGAAGAUAUAGUGAAAGUGAGAUUGGAGUGAAAUCAAUUGUUCAAAGUGAAAAAUGAAGACCAGCAUUGAGUGAUCCUCC